rnacentral:pre_miRNA from 1 species
AUUGUACUCCCUCUAUCCCAAAAUUCUUGUCUUAGAUUUGUAUAGAUACGGAUGUAUCUAAUACUAAAACAUGACUUGAUACAUCCGUAUUUAGAUAAAUCUAAGACAUGAAUUUUGGGACGGAGGGAGUACUUG